rnacentral:tmRNA from 1 species
GGGGCCGACUGGUAUCGACCGGGCAGGGAAGGUUGGAGGUGGCGCGUCGUGGGGCGUGUUGGCCACGUAAAAAACACGCACUCUUUAUAACUGCCGAACCGCAGUUCGCUCUCGCGGCGUAAUACACGUCCGCGCGUCCCCUGCCUGACGUCCGAUGGGGCGGGGGAUUGACGACUAUCGGGCUGGUCGACACGUGGCGCCUCUUGGCGUGUCGGCGAGGAGGUUCCGAGCGGCUGGACCGAAGGGCAGGGUGUCCGUUCCCGGCCCGAGGUUGAGAUCAAACAGCGGACUACACGCGUAGAGGCUUCCAGCUGACUGUCACGGGACGGGGGUUCGAAUCCCCCCGGCUCCAUUA